GUAAACCUCACUUUUCACACCUCCAUCAUCUCGACACCCUCACUACACCACCACACUAGCUUUUCGGUUGUCGUUACGCUACGCCAGAGUUAACAAGAUCCACCGGAGACGCUCGGACAUCACCCGAAGAUUCUCUCGCUUUGAAGACGAUACUGGAAGCUACCGGAGCCGUUCGAAGCCGUUGCCGAAUCUGCGAGAUGCCGGAGACGACCAAAGCCACGACGAGGAACCACCUUUGCUUCGGUUAACCGCUUCCGUCCAUUUGGAAACCUUUUCUCAAUCUAUACCCGUGCGUUAUUUUACAAGAAAU
rnacentral:lncRNA from 1 species